GACGAACGCUGGCGGCGUGCUUAACACAUGCAAGUCGAACGGUAAGGCCCUUCGGGGUACGCGAGUGGCGAACGGGUGAGUAACACGUGGGUGAUCUGCCCUGCACUUCGGGAUAAGCCUGGGAAACUGGGUCUAAUACCGGAUAGGACCACUGCCUGCAUGGGUGGUGGUGGAAAGCUUUUGCGGGGUGGGAUGGGCCCGCGGCCUAUCAGCUUGUUGGUGGGGUGAUGGGCUACCAAGGCGACGACGGGUAGCCGGGCUGAGAGGGUGACCGGCCACACUGGGACUGAGGUGCAGGCCAGACUACUACGGGAGGCAGCAGUGGGGAAUAUUGCACAAUGGGCGCAAGCCUGAUGCAGCGACGCCGCGUGAGGGAUGACGGCCUUCGGGUUGUAAACCUCUUUCAGCACCGACGAAGCGCAAGUGACGGUAGGUGCAGAAGAAGGACCGGCCAACUACGUGCCAGCCGCCGCCGUAA
rnacentral:rRNA from 1 species